AGGAUGAACGCUAGCCACAGGCUUAACACAUGCAAGUCGAGGGGCAUCAGGAAGAAAGCUUGCUUUCUUUGCUGGCGACCGGCGCACGGGUGAGUAACACGUAUCCAACCUGCCCUUUACUCGGGGAUAGCCUUUCGAAAGAAAGAUUAAUACCCGAUAGCAUAAUGAUUCCGCAUGGUUUCAUUAUUAAAGGAUUCCGGUAAAGGAUGGGGAUGCGUUCCAUUAGGUUGUUGGUGAGGUAACGGCCCACCAAGCCUUCGAUGGAUAGGGGUUCUGAGAGGAAGGUCCCCCACAUUGGAACUGAGACACGGUCCAAACUCCUACGGGAGGCAGCAGUGAGGAAUAUUGGUCAAUGGGCGCUAGCCUGAACCAGCCAAGUAGCGUGAAGGAUGAAGGCUCUAUGGGUCGUAAACUUCUUUUAUAUAAGAAUAAAGUGCAGUAUGUAUACUGUUUUGUAUGUAUUAUAUGAAUAAGGAUCGGCUAACUCCGUGCCAGCAGCCGCGGUAAUACGGAGGAUCCGAGCGUUAUCCGGAUUUAUUGGGUUUAAAGGGAGCGUAGGUGGACUGGUAAGUCAGUUGUGAAAGUUUGCGGCUCAACCGUAAAAUUGCAGUUGAUACUGUCAGUCUUGAGUACAGUAGAGGUGGGCGGAAUUCGUGGUGUAGCGGUGAAAUGCUUAGAUAUCACGAAGAACUCCGAUUGCGAAGGCAGCUCACUGGACUGCAACUGACACUGAUGCUCGAAAGUGUGGGUAUCAAACAGGAUUAGAUACCCUGGUAGUCCACACAGUAAACGAUGAAUACUCGCUGUUUGCGAUAUACAGUAAGCGGCCAAGCGAAAGCAUUAAGUAUUCCACCUGGGGAGUACGCCGGCAACGGUGAAACUCAAAGGAAUUGACGGGGGCCCGCACAAGCGGAGGAACAUGUGGUUUAAUUCGAUGAUACGCGAGGAACCUUACCCGGGCUUAAAUUGCAGUGGAAUGAUGUGGAAACAUGUCAGUGAGCAAUCACCGCUGUGAAGGUGCUGCAUGGUUGUCGUCAGCUCGUGCCGUGAGGUGUCGGCUUAAGUGCCAUAACGAGCGCAACCCUUAUCUUUAGUUACUAACAGGUUAUGCUGAGGACUCUAGAGAGACUGCCGUCGUAAGAUGUGAGGAAGGUGGGGAUGACGUCAAAUCAGCACGGCCCUUACGUCCGGGGCUACACACGUGUUACAAUGGGGGGUACAGAAGGCAGCUAGCGGGUGACCGUAUGCUAAUCCCAAAAUCCUCUCUCAGUUCGGAUCGAAGUCUGCAACCCGACUUCGUGAAGCUGGAUUCGCUAGUAAUCGCGCAUCAGCCACGGCGCGGUGAAUACGUUCCCGGGCCUUGUACACACCGCCCGUCAAGCCAUGGGAGCCGGGGGUACCUGAAGUACGUAACCGCAAGGAUCGUCCUAGGGUAAAACUGGUGACUGGGGC
rnacentral:rRNA from 1 species